rnacentral:lncRNA from 1 species
CCCAAGAGUUUAGGGUUUCAGAUUUAAGGUUUAGGGAUUAGGAUUUAGGGUAAACCCAAGAGUAACAGUUGUUGACAAAAAAAAAAAAAACUACGUAACAGUUACUACCUUUCCUCUUCGCCUCUUAACUAUUUCCUUGACUCUUAAGAAACUAUCAGCCUAACUUGAGAACAUACUCAUCUCCACGCACCCUACCAAGGUGAACCAGAGCUUGCUAUUAGACGUACCUACACAUAACGCCAUGGUGAAGAAGCCUCCUCGGGCCAACCGGCUUGAAAGCAUCAAAC